GGUGACCCGGUCUACCACCGGGAUGUUCAUAACCCUUUGUUGUCCGACUCUGUUGCCUCCGGGGCGACCCUGCCUUCGGGCGGGGGCUCCGGGUGGACACUUCAAACUCUUGCGUAACUUUGCAGUCUGAGUAAACUUAAUUAAUAAAUUAAAACUUUUAACAACGGAUCUCUUGGUUCUGGCAUCGAUGAAGAACGCAGCGAAAUGCGAUAAGUAAUGUGAAUUGCAGAAUUCAGUGAAUCAUCGAAUCUUUGAACGCACAUUGCGCCCCCUGGUAUUCCGGGGGGCAUGCCUGUUCGAGCGUCAUUUCACCACUCAAGCCUCGCUUGGUAUUGGGCAUCGCGGUCCGCCGCGUGCCUCAAAUCGACCGGCUGGGUCUUCUGUCCCCUAAGCGUUGUGGAAACUAUUCGCUAAAGGGUGUUCGGGAGGCUACGCCGUAAAACAACCCCAUUUCUAAGGUUGACCUCGGAUCAGGUAGGGAUACCCGCUGAACUUAAGCAUAUCAAUAAGCGGAGG
rnacentral:rRNA from 1 species